rnacentral:rRNA from 1 species
GACGAACGCUGGCGGCGUGCUUAACACAUGCAAGUCGAACGGAGUGGCGAACGGGUGAGUAACACGUGGGUGACCUGCCCUGCACUUCGGGAUAAGCCUGGGGAACUGGGUCUAAUACCGGAUAGUGUGGGAUGGGCCCGCGGCCUAUCAGCUUGUUGGUGGGGUAAUGGCCUACCAAGGGGGCGACGGGUGGCCGGCCUGGGAGGGUGGACGGCCACAUUGGGACUGAGACACGGACCAAAAUCCUACGGGAGGCAGCAGUGGGGAGUAGUGCGCAUGGGGGUAAACCCUGAUGCAUCAACGCCGGGUGCGGGAUGACGGCCUGCGGGUUGUAAACCGCUUUCAGCCAUGACGCGGUAGUGGCAGAAGAAGCACCGGCUAACUACGUGCCAGCAGCCGCGGUAAUAC